rnacentral:rRNA from 1 species
UACGUAGGGGGCAAGCGUUGUCCGGAUUUAUUGGGCGUAAAGAGCGUGUAGGCGGCCAGAUAGGUCAGCUGUGAAAACUCGAGGCCCAACCUCGAGAUGUCGGCUGAAACCAUCUGGCUAGAGUCCGGAAGAGGAGAAUGGAAUUCCCGGUGUAGCGGUGAAAUGCGCAGAUAUCGGGAAGAACACCCGUGGCGAAGGCGGAUCUCUGGGCCAUUACUGACGCUGAGGAGCGAAAGCGUGGGGAGCAAACAGG